ACCAGCUAAUCACUCGCUAAUUAAUUCUCUCUCUCCUCGCUCGAGAGAGGACGGGUUCACCACUCCGGCCUGGGGGCUCUCAGCAGCCUUUGGGCGCGAACCCCACGCGCUGGCCGUCGCCGUCGAACACCACGCGGAACCCCUGCUGCUGGAUGUUGCCGAUGAUGGACACGCCGCCGUCGGUGCCCGCGAACGCGAAGCAGAAGGUGCCCCUGGAGUCCACGGGGAUGAGGUAGUUCUCGGGGGGCAGUGCGGCCUCGGCGCCGCCCGCGAAGUGCAUCGACACGGUCGGCACCUUCACCACCCUGCGCCCGCCCAGGUCGUAGCACGUGUCGAACAGCGAGAACCCGCCGGGGGAGAGCCGGAGCCCCCCCGCCGCGGCGGCGCGGAACGCGUCGCGGAGCGCGGAGUAGGACGCGCGGGCGAGGCGGGUCACGGAGGUGCCCGAGUCCACGAUCACGCCGCCGCGGCCCGUGGACGGGUCCAGCCGGAGGUCCGACUCGGCCACGCCCGGGACGCGCGCGCCGCCCACGCUGAUGCCCACCAGCUGCACGUAGUAGAACGUCUCCAUGCGCGGGUUGCGGACCAUCGGGGUGAAGGACGCCGACGACGCGCCGACGGAGCCCGCCCCGAAGCUGACGGUGGAGGACCGGUGGGAGCCCGGCGCGGCGCCCGCGCCGGAGGAGGUGCGGUCGACGAGGCAGUAGGAGAAGCUCCGGCCGUAGCGGCGGGAGAUCUGGGUCGGGAACGACAGCCCGCCGCGCCCGAGCCCCAGCAGCCCCGCCGCGGCCACGAACAGGCCCUCGUUGUCGUGGCCGCACCCGAGCGCCACGCGCGCCACGCGGGCGCCUCCCGCGAAGGUGAGCGUCUCGGUCACGAAGUCGCCCGCGGUCACCGAGCCGUCGCCGUAGGCCACCUGGUACAUGCACGCCCCGCGCCGCAGGUCGCAGCCCCCCGAGUCCAGCCUGCGGCACAGCGCCGCGCCGCAGCCCACGGCGCCGUACGAGCUCGAGCGCCGCGGGUCGAACACCGGGCCCGACUGCUCGUAGCACCGCCGGCACGGCGCGCACUGCACCCACACCACGUCGCUGCCGGUGUCCAGCACCAUCAGCGCCUGCGUGGCCGGCGUGCCCACCCCGAUCUUGGUGAAGUACUCCCCGCUCCCCUGCGCCAGCCCCGAGACCACCGGCGCCGCGACGCCCUUUCUCCCGUUGCCACCGCCGGCGCCGGCCGCCUCCGAGAUCCGCGCCGCCCUACGCUUGUCCCGCUGCAGACGGUGCUUCAGCAGCUCGCCCGCGGUGGCGUUCACCGCGAAGGUGUCCCGGUGGACCACGCGGAAGUGCACGGCCGAGUCUGACGCCGCGGCCGCCUCCUCCGCGACGGCAAGGCUGCCGCCGAAGACAUCCUCGUCCGCGUCCAAGGACGGAGCGGUGUACAAGUGGGGAGACAGCGGGGUGGCUACAAAGCUGUGGUACUCCACGGCCUUGACGACAUUGGAAGCGGCAACCAGAAGGAGCAGCGCGGCGAGGGUCGUCAUGGCUAGCAAGUGGAGUGUACUGGCAGAGGGAGUUGGUGGCAAGGCAUAUAUGAAGGGAGGAGGGGGAUUAAUUAAAUGGAGACGGUGAGCGGCGCUGCGGUGGGCUGGUGCUAGGACUACCAGUGGUGAUUAUACUCGGCUAGCCCUAGCAGUUAAUUGAGGUGCAUCUGCGGAGGAUGUUUCGGUGCCGUGCCGCUUGCAUCGGGGCGACGCGGAAUAAAUGUUGGCUGCGGGCGGGUGGAAACUGGCUCUGGUCUGGAUACGAUAUGACCCGCUCCUGCUGCAGACGCGUUGCCGUGCCGACGGUGCCGUGUGACUCGUAUUGGCUGUGCUUCAAACUCAGCACCAUCAACGUGUGAUUCAGUUCGGUCAUCUUUUUUCCUAAAAUAAAAUUCUCGAACAAAUCUUCUUCUGCAGAUCGUUUGCCGGUCCGCCUGCUAAGACUAUUCGCAGCG
rnacentral:misc_RNA from 1 species